AAGUCGUAACAAGGUUUCCGUAGGUGAACCUGCGGAAGGAUCAUUAACACUAUUUUACAAAAACAAAUUAUGUGCCUUGAGUAGCAAUGCUCUCGUCACUGUUUGUUUUUCCAAACCAACUACCCAAACUUUAUGAAAGUGCUGGUUGAUUUUCUCAUUUAUCCGUCAAAAAGAUAAAUGAAAAAAUCACUUUUUCACUUCUUUUUCUUUAUUAACCCCAAACUCUUUUCAUUGCUAAUGCAAAUGACAAUUACAAAAACUAAAAUAACUACUUUAACGUAACCAAACAACUCUUAGCAACGGAUAUCUUGGCUCUC
rnacentral:misc_RNA from 1 species